AAAAAACCUGCAGGAUUUCCUGCAGGGCCCUUCUAAUUCCUAGUAAAAGGAUAGAAGGUAAAGGGAGAGGAGAAACCGGAGGAAGAACUUAUGGGGAAACGUAAGUCUUCUCCGCG
rnacentral:ncRNA from 1 species